UAUGUAGAGGAAAGUUAUUCGGAAUGUUGAUCUUAGCAUGAAAUUCGUAUUUGAAGAUUCUACAUUAUUUCAUUGUUAAUAAAUAUUUUCCAACCAAGUAACCAGUUGCAAGCUAAUCAAUUUUAUCCGAUGGCUAGAAACUCAAGUCUAUAUUUCAUCAGACAUCAUGAUCUCUACCUAUGUCACAAAAGAGCGAAUUCUUGGCAGACAGUUUCGCGUCAACAGCACUCGCUGGGUACACGUGAGAAAAUUUGUCAGGCUGAUUCAUCGUCUUUCGUUCUUACUCUGCUGCCAGCUAUUUUACAACGAAGCAGAUGAAAUUUUCAAGAAUUCGUCGUUAAAUGUUGCUGAUCAAGGUGCAGCGUUAAUAGCCCAUUUUAGGAAGAUUAAUGGGCUACGUAAAUUGCUACGCCAUUAGACAUCGGUUAGCUAAAUGUGAUUAAUUUUAUAACAAUUUAAUAUAUAAUUUAUUUUGAUUUAAAAACGCCGGUAGAAUUUGUGUAAUAUUCAUCCUGAUACUCUUUUGCUUCUGAUUUACGAUGACUUCAAAUCGUCGUUAAUUCCGGUAACACUACGCGAUCAACGCUCGAUCGGAAGAAAGUAGACGGUGGAAAAUUCGUUUCCAAUUGGAGAAGUCGCGAGCGAAAAGCAAAAGGUAAUCUGCCGAUGCGUAGAAUUGAAAAACGCGGACUACCGGCCGAGUAACAAGGCAAACAGGAAAACGGAAACGAACCCUCGAAAACUUCAUUUCCUCCGGAAUGAAAAUUAAUUAAUAUCUGGCUCUUCCGCGUAACGAGAUCUCCAUUAUCGCCUAAAUACGAGUAGCUGAGGAAACUCGAUCGUCUUCACGGUUCUCGUUGAUCGCUCUUUAAUUAUUAUCAAUUUGUGCGACACUUCAGCGUGUCGAGUACUUUGCUACAUUUUCACCAUAUUAUUACAUCUAUAUACUUAUAAUUCUAUAAAAUUCAAAUUACCCGCCAAUCGACAUUUUUAGUUUUGCAGUCAUUUGCCAAAUAGAAUAUUGGGUUGGCAACUAAGUGAUUGCGGAUUUGAUCAUUAGGUGGUAUUAACAAAGUCCGCAAUCACUUAGUUGCCAAUCCAAUACAUCACGAGAGAAGAGCAAUAAUUUAGGACUUGGAAGAUCGAUCCUCGAUUUGCCAGAUAAAAUUUUUAGUAGAUUUGUUAUUAACUGUUAUUGUAUUUAAUUUCAUUAUUGCCAAAACAAACUCGAUUUUCCAGAAUCGAUCGUCUGAUUUACCCUAAGGAUUUACGUUAUUACAUAUAUAUAUACAUAAAUAAA
rnacentral:misc_RNA from 1 species